rnacentral:lncRNA from 13 species
ACCCCGGCCGGUCAGGGGUCGUCGCGGAGGGCAGUGUAGCCGAGCUGGCACCGCAGGGCAGCAGCAGACUCCGCCCCUACUAAAGAAUUCAAGAAGACGUCCUCUUUCCGCAGCGCUUUCUUAAACAAAUUCUUGGAGAGAGCGAGAGGGGUGACCAAAGAGAGGAACCUUUCCUCCCCUUUUGCCUGUGCUCAGGCGCGCGGAGGAAUUCUAAUGUUCCAAGGAGACAAGGAUUUUGACUCUACCUCUCACGCAAGCUUAUCCUGCGGGGCAUUCCUCCUAUGGGUAUGGAGUCACCGUGAAGUGUUCCAGAGAGGCUGUCUACAGAUGUACUCAUGCCGAACAUGAAUUGGAGAAGCCCUAGCUGUGCCUGCAAUGGCUUAUAAGGCUACAAAUGAGUCAGACAUGCAAACAACUGUAAUGAAAGGAAAGGAAGCCUGUGAGCCAGGACUAUGUAAAAAGAUCCAGACAGGCAAUGCUCACAGCAUCUUCAUCAGGAGUAGAUUCCACAUCAAGAAACCACUAUCUUUAUUGAUCUCCAAGAAGCAACUCCUCACCCAUUCAAGUUUUAUGGGUCUCAAUAUGACAUCCAGGCUGGAGUGUAGUGGCAUUAUCUCAGCUCACUGCAGCCUCUGCCUCCUGGGCUCAAGUGAUCCUCCCACCGCAGUCUCCUGAUAGCUGUGACUACAGAUCAAGUCUUCAAUCUUCUCCACGAUAAAUGAAUUACACCAAUGGGUUUGCAAGGCUUCAGGUAUAACUUAGGUUUGCCCAGAAGGAGAUUAGAAGGAACACAGAAAUUGAAGUGAAUAUUCAAUUCCUCAGUCUUGAGGAGUCCAUUUAGGUUACUGUGUCUUUUGACUACAGUUCACUGCUUCUUUCAAGACAACCGGGUUUUCUGACAUCCAUUCAGGCUUCUUUACGGUUCUCUCAGCCCUUAGCCUUUUGGAGUGCUAAGAGUUUAGCUGUGGUUCCUCAAGUUGUAAUUAUUCUUUCUGUAAAUAAACCCUUUUGAAUCCUGAUGGAAUCCUACUGU